UAAUACAUAAGUAACCUGCCCUAGACAGGGGGAUAACUAUUGGAAGCGAUAGCUAAGACCGCAUAGGUACGGACACUGCAUGGUGACCGUAUUAAAAGUGCCUCAAAGCACUGGUAGAGGAUGGACUUAUGGCGCAUUAGCUGGUUGGCGGGGUAACGGCCCACCAAGGCGACGAUGCGUAGCCGACCUGAGAGGGUGACCGGCCACACUGGGACUGAGACACGGCCCAG
rnacentral:rRNA from 1 species